rnacentral:rRNA from 1 species
AACGAACGCUGGCGGCAGGCUUAACACAUGCAAGUCGAGCGCCCCGCAAGGGGAGCGGCAGACGGGUGAGUAACGCGUGGGAAUCUACCGUACCCUACGGAAUAACGCAUGGAAACGUGUGCUAAUACCGUAUACGCCCUACGGGGGAAAGAUUUAUCGGGGUAUGAUGAGCCCGCGUUGGAUUAGCUAGUUGGUGGGGUAAAGGCCUACCAAGGCGACGAUCCAUAGCUGGUCUGAGAGGAUGAGCAGCCACAUUGGGACUGAGACACGGCCCAAACUCCUACGGGAGGCAGAAGUGGGGAAUAUUGGAGAAUGGGCGCAAGCCUGAUCCAGCCAUGCCGCGUGAGUGAUGAAGGCCUUAGGGUUGUAAAGCUCUUUCACCGGUGAAGAUAAUGACGGUAACCGGAGAAGAAGCCCCGGCUAACUUCGUGCCAGCCGCCGCUGUAAUAC